CAGCAGCCGCGGUAAUACGGAGGGUGCAAGCGUUAUCCGGAUUUAUUGGGUUUAAAGGGUCCGUAGGCGGACUUAUAAGUCAGUGGUGAAAGCCUGUCGCUUAACGAUAGAACUGCCAUUGAUACUGUAAGUCUUGAGUAUAUUUGAGGUAGCUGGAAUAAGUAGUGUAGCGGUGAAAUGCAUAGAUAUUACUUAGAACACCAAUUGCGAAGGCAGGUUACCAAGAUAUAACUGACGCUGAGGGACGAAAGCGUGGGUAGCGAACAGGAUUAGAUACCCGUGUAGUCCCUGUCUCUUAUAU
rnacentral:rRNA from 1 species